rnacentral:rRNA from 1 species
CAGCGGCGAACGGGUGAGUAACACGUGAGCAACCUGCCCCUGACUCUGGGAUAGCCUCGGGAAACCGGGAUUAAUACCGGAUAUGACAUCGCCUCGCAUGGGGUGGUGUGGAAAGUUUUUCGGUCGGGGAUGGGCUCGCGGCCUAUCAGCUUGUUGGUGGGGUGAUGGCCUACCAAGGCGACGACGGGUAGCCGGCCUGAGAGGGUGACCGGCCACACUGGGACUGAGACACGGCCCAGACUCCUACGGGAGGCAGCAGUGGGGAAUAUUGCGCAAUGGGCGAAAGCCUGACGCAGCGACGCCGCGUGAGGGAUGAAGGCCUUCGGGUUGUAAACCUCUUUCAGCAGGGAAGAAGCGCAAGUGACGGUACCUGCAGAAGAAGCACCGGCUAACUACGUGCCAGCAGCCGCGGUAAUACGUAGGGUGCAAGCGUUGUCCGGAAUUAUUGGGCGUAAAGAGCUCGUAGGCGGUUUGUCGCGUCUGCUGUGAAAACGCGGGGCUCAACUCCGCGCCUGCAGUGGGUACGGGCAGACUAGAGUGCAGUAGGGGAGACUGGAAUUCCUGGUGUAGCGGUGGAAUGCGCAGAUAUCAGGAGGAACACCGGUGGCGAAGGCGGGUCUCUGGGCUGUAACUGACGCUGAGGAGCGAAAGCGUGGGUAGCGAACAGGAUUAGAUACCCUGGUAGUCCACGCCGUAAACGUUGGGCGCUAGGUGUGGGGCUCAUUCCACGAGUUCCGUGCCGCAGCAAACGCAUUAAGCGCCCCGCCUGGGGAGUACGGCCGCAAGGCUAAAACUCAAAGGAAUUGACGGGGCCCCGCACAAGCGGCGGAGCAUGCGGAUUAAUUCGAUGCAACGCGAAGACCUUACCAAGCUUGACAUGCAGG